rnacentral:rRNA from 1 species
AGUGGACGCUGGCGGUAGGCCUAACACAUGCAAGUCGAACGGCAGCACAGUAAGAGCUUGCUCUUACGGGUGGCGAGUGGCGGACGGGUGAGGAAUACAUCGGAAUCUACUUUUUCGUGGGGGAUAACGUAGGGAAACUUACGCUAAUACCGCAUACGACCUACGGGUGAAAGCAGGGGAUCUUCGGACCUUGCGCGAUUGAAUGAGCCGAUGUCGGAUUAGCUAGCUGGCGGGGUAAAGGCCCACCAAGGCGACGAUCCGUAGCUGGUCUGAGAGGAUGAUCAGCCACACUGGAACUGAGACACGGUCCAGACUCCUACGGGAGGCAGCAGUGGGGAAUAUUGGACAAUGGGCGCAAGCCUGAUCCAGCCAUACCGCGUGGGUGAAGAAGGCCUUCGGGUUGUAAAGCCCUUUUGUUGGGAAAGAAAAGCAGCAGGUUAAUACCCCGCUGUUCUGACGGUACCCAAAGAAUAAGCACCGGCUAACUUCGUG